ensembl:lncRNA
GUUGAGCUGCUCAACCAGCACACUAUUACCAACUAUGGCUUUUGCUGCAACGAGGAGGCUCUUGGUGUUAUUUGUGUUUUUUUGCGCCAUUGGACCAGGGUUAGCAGACCCUGAGUGGGCCAACCUGGACGGCUUCGCCGUGGUGGGGGGGGGACCGGUCAACGCGUCCUCAGCAGCAGGCCGUGCCGCCGGGCCCCUGCACCCCGCGGCUCCAGCCCGGGUGGAGGCCCCUGUGGAGGCGCCCGUCCCAGUGGAGCCGGCCUCACCUGUCUCCAGGGCGCACAGGAGGCCCCCCCAGUCGUCCUCGGGCCCCCGUCAACCCUACAGCAGGGCCCUGGGACGGCUCCCCCUGGUGGACAGGAGACAACAACACAGCACUAAGCCUCAGUCGGACCAACGGAACCGCAACGGCCACAAGCUAGCCUCUGAGUCCGUUCAUGUGGUGUCACUGCAGGCCCAGAGGACACCGGGUCGCCGGAGCAACCCCGUCAGCCGGCCCGUGC